rnacentral:rRNA from 1 species
UACGUAGGUGGCGAGCGUUGUCCGGAAUUACUGGGCGUAAAGCGCGUGUAGGCGGGUGGCUAAGUCUGUGGUGAAAUCGCUCGGCUUAACUGGGCGGGGUCCAUGGAAACUGGUCACCUGGAGGUCGGUAGAGGCAAGUGGAAUUCCCGGUGUAGUGGUGAAAUGCGUAGAUAUCGGGAGGAACACCAGUGGCGAAGGCGGCCCCCUGGUUGGAUACUGACGCUGAGACGCGAAAGCCAGGGGAGCAAACGGG